UUCUUGAUCAGAUAGCGGGUAAUUCAAGAAAGAGAUCUCCCCACGCCGCUUCCCUCACAUCAUCAUUUUCGUUCGAGAGAGAAAGAAAGAGAGAGAGGGAGAGGAAACGCGUGAUCGGAGAUGAGAGGAAGGGAGCGGGGUCGGUCUGCCGUCUGCACACCCACCACCGGUAGGGUCCGGCAAGGUUUCGAUUGCCGGUCGUCGGACAGGGAUGGAGAUCGUGCAUGACCCUGGGAAGGGUGCGCUGUUCGCUAGGGUGACCUUUCAUUACGACCAUCCGAGGGAGCUAAUGAUCACCACCGGAUGUCGACAGGUCGGGUCAUCUACUGCGACAAGAAGGCUACCAUCUCUGUGGCAAUGUCCUCCCGCUCCAAUCCAUUCCUGAGGAAGCCGUCGUGCGCAACAUCGAGCGCCAUGUAGCCAACCAUGGUGUUUUCGCUCGAUCCUUCGGGAACUACGCACCUUUCGAAACGCAUGAUCAGAGAUGAGAGGAAAGGAAGCGCGUGCUUUAUUGGGACGGCUGGAGUACCAGAGAGGUAACUAUGCUGCUGCUCUCCAGGUGUUCCGUGGGAUUGAUAUACAGAGUUUGAUGCCUAAGAUGACUAAAUCUGUCAUUGAACUAGAAUUUCAGCAGGAGCGAGAUGUGCAGAGGCUGCCAAAGAGUGCAAUGCUAUCCUGGACACAGUCAAAGAUGCAUUACCUAAAGGCUUGCCUGUUGGUGUUUUUGGAGACUGCAAAUUCCAGGAGAUGUUCCAUAUGGCACUGGAAUCUUUUCCUGUAUUGUGGAAGAAGGCUGGCUGUCUUGAAGAGGCCAUGAUUGAGAGAGAGAACCCAGAAGUGGCUUUUAGUCUUGGGUUGGCUGCUGCAGUAUCAAGGGACAUUAAUAAUUUAAUGCAGCUUUGGAGAGUUCAAGAGAUUACUUGCAUAUGACAAUGGGAAGUUCUGUUGAAGGACGGAGGCUUUUGGCCCUUGUUGUGUCUGCUGGGCCAUCUCUUACUGAAGCUGAGACAGUUGUAAAUCUUGCUUUGGACGAGACCGUAGAGUUGGACCAUAUUUGUCUCUUGAGAUUAAAGUGCAAACUUCAAAUAGCUCAAAGGACGGCCCACACAGGCAAUUGAGACGUAUACAUUUUUGUUUACUCUUAUUCAAGCGCAAACAAGAUCUCAAACUAUGAAAUCUGUAUCUGAGGUACUCCAUUGUGUGAUAAAACUUAACUGCAUAUUCUUUCCCAAAGGAAUAAAUCUUCUUUGUUUUCUCUUUCCUGGUAUUAAUUGUUCAUUUAUUUUCAAAAGCUUGGUCAGAUUGUUAUCUUUCAAAUGUUUGACAAGUGAUGCUGCGUAAAAGAUUAGAAGCAGAGGCGUUAUCUCAAACUAUGAAAUCUGUAUCUGUCCAUUGUGUGAUAAAACUUAACUGCAUAUUCUUUCCCAAAGGAAUAAAUCUUCUUUGUUUUCUCUUUUGUGGUAAUAAUUGUUCAUUUAUUUUCAAAAGCUUGGUCAGAUCGUUAUCUUUCAAAUGUUUGACAAGUGAUGCUGCGUAAAAGAUUAGAAGUAGAGGCAUGGCAAGAUUUAUCAUACAUAUAUACAGGACUUCGUUUAUGGUCUGAUGCAAGUAUCUGUGUCAAUAAAGCAAUGUCAUUUGGUGCACAUCUCAAACUAUGAAAUCUGUAUCUGUUCAUUGUGUGAUAAAACUUAACUGCAUAUUCUUUCCCAAAGGAAUAAAUCUUCUUUGUUUUCUCUUUUGUGGUAAUAAUUGUUCAUUUAUUUUCAAAAGCUUGGUCAGAUUUUUCAAAUGUUUGACAAGUGAUGCUGCGUAAAAGAUUAGAAGCAGAGGCGUGGCAAGAUUUAUCAUACAUAUAUGCAGGACUUCGUUUAUGGUCUGAUGCAAGUAUCUGUGUCAAUAAAGCAAUGUCAUUUGGUGCAUAUUCUCCUACCAAUUGGCAUGCAGCAGGUUGGUGCUUUUUCAUUUGUGGCUACUUUCAUAUGUAUUUGUUCACUUCUCUAAUAUGCAACUGUGCCUUCCCUUGUUAUCAGACUUCUUCAAUUUUUUUGCGAAGGUGAGAAUGUCUUAGGUCUCAUAGCUUCCAUUCAGAUCCUUAUGCUUCUGCUUUUUUCUUUCCCCCUUCAUAGUUUCUUCUACUCCUAAUUAUAUACCUCAACAGGUGAAACGUAUGGGCGUGCGCCUGCAGCUCCAACAGGCUUCAACAGCAGCAGUACCACCACCACCAUCAAACGGAAAAGGGGAAAGGAUCAGGCAGUUUCUAUUGUGACGGAGUUACUUGAGAGCGAAGGGGUACCCCAGAUGUUCAGACUAUGUGUCUUUUGCUGCUACAGAUAUCUUGAACUUUGUGUCUCAGAAUUAUAGGAUGAGACCAGUUUCUGGGGUUGAAGAUUUCUUCUUGUAGUUUAAAGCAUAUUCAACUACUUUUUUCAUCGACGAUUGCGACCACAAACCAUCCUUAUUUCAGAAGAUGAAGGGCAUAAAUUAUUAGAACCAGAAAUUUUUGGCUAAGGAAUAGUGACAACGUUUUUCACAGCUGACCAACUGCUGAAGAAGCCAGUGCCCUGCCUUUGAUUCUCUCGGUACCAAACCUCCUUUUUCCUGAAGUACAAGGUAAAGAAAAAGAGUGAGUAGCUUUUUUGAGUGACCUGUAUUAUUUUUCUUUUUUCCCUUUCCGUCAAGAGUGUACCAUUUUGUAAUGUAUCUGGCUUCUGUAUAAAAGAAGAUGAUUUUUUUAGUUCAGAACGGCCAAUUUUUCUUUU